CUUGACCUCAAAUCAGGCAGGACUACCCGCCGAACUUAAGC
rnacentral:rRNA from 1 species